rnacentral:rRNA from 1 species
GAGUUUGAUCCUGGCUCAGGAUGAACGCUGGCGGCGUGCCUAAUACAUGCAAGUCGAGCGAACAGAUGAGAAGCUUGCUUCUCUGAUGUUAGCGGCGGACGGGUGAGUAACACGUGGGUAACCUACCUAUAAGACUGGGAUAACUCCGGGAAACCGGGGCUAAUACCGGAUAAUAUUUUGAACCGCAUGGUUCAAUAGUGAAAGACGGUUUCGGCUGUCACUUAUAGAUGGACCCGCGCCGUAUUAGCUAGUUGGUAAGGUAACGGCUUACCAAGGCGACGAUACGUAGCCGACCUGAGAGGGUGAUCGGCCACACUGGAACUGAGACACGGUCCAGACUCCUACGGGAGGCAGCAGUAGGGAAUCUUCCGCAAUGGGCGAAAGCCUGACGGAGCAACGCCGCGUGAGUGAUGAAGGUCUUCGGAUCGUAAAACUCUGUUGUUAGGGAAGAACAAAUUUGUUAGUAACUGAACAAGUCUUGACGGUACCUAACCAAAAAGCCACGGCUAACUACGUGCCAGCAGCCGCGGUAAUACCUAGGUGGCAAGCGUUAUCCGGAAUUAUUGGGCGAAAAGCGCGCGUAGGCGGUUUCUUAAUUCUGAUGUGAAAGCCCACGG